CGGUGUUUAACUGGCGUGAUGUGGGACGUCCUACCGGUGGGCUUAGCCUCGCGAGGGGCGGCCCAACUAAUAUCCCGUCGCGGUGCUCUUUACUGAGUGUCGAGUCGGGCCGGUACGUUUACUUUGAACAAAUUACAGUGCUUAAAGCAGGCUAUCCUCGCCUGAAUACUGCGUGCAUGGAAUAAUGGAAUAGGACCUCGGUUCUAUUUUGUUGGUUUUCGGAACCCCGAGGUAAUGAUUAAUAGGGACAGAUGGGGGCAUUCGUAUUGCGACGUUAGAGGUGAAAUUCUUGGAUCGUCGCAAGACGGACAGAAGCGAAAGCAUUUGCCAAAAAUGUUUUCAUUAAUCAAGAACGAAAGUUAGAGGUUCGAAGGCGAUCAGAUACCGCCCUAGUUCUAACCAUAAACGAUGCCAGCUAGCGAUCCGCCGAAGUUCCUCCGAUGACUCGGCGGGCAGCUUCCGGGAAACCAAAGCUUUUGGGUUCCGGGGGAAGUAUGGUUGCAAAGCUGAAACUUAAAGGAAUUGACGGAAGGGCACCACCAGGAGUGGAGCCUGCGGCUUAAUUUGACUCAACACGGGAAACCUCACCAGGCCCAGACACCGGAAGGAUUGACAGAUUGAUAGCUCUUUCUUGAUUCGGUGGGUGGUGGUGCAUGGCCGUUCUUAGUUGGUGGAGCGAUUUGUCUGGUUAAUUCCGAUAACGAACGAGACUCUAGCCUGCUAAAUAGGCGUACCUUAUGGUAUCGCGAAGGCCCCCGGCUUCGGCCGGUGGGUUUUUACUACCAACGUACAAACAAAUCUUCUUAGAGGGACAGGCGG
rnacentral:rRNA from 1 species